rnacentral:rRNA from 1 species
UAGCCAUGAGCAGGUUGAAGUUGAGGUGAAACUCAAUGGAGGACCGAACCGACUACCGUUGAAAAGUUAGCGGAUGACUUGUGGCUAGGGGAGAAAUUCCAAUCGAACCCGGAGAUAGCUGGUUCUCCCCGAAAUAGCUUUAGGGCUAGCGUCGGAAAGAACCUUAGUGAAGGUAGAGCACUGAAUGUGUGAUGGCCCCAUCCCGGGGUACUGAAUACAAUCAAACUGCGAAUGUCAUUAAGGAUGUCCGGCAGUCAGACUGUGAGUGAUAAGGUCCAUGGUCAAGAGGGAAACAGCCCAGACCGCCAGUUAAGGUCCCAAAAUACAGGCUAAGUGGAAAAGGAUGUGGGGAUGCCCAGACAACUAGGAGGUUGGCUCAGAAGCAGCCAUCCUUUAAAGAGUGCGUAACAGCUCACUAGUCGAGUGACCCUGCGCCGAAAAUGUACCGGGGCUAAGCCUGAUACCGAAACUGCGGAUUGUAGGAAACUAUAGUGGUAGGGGAGCGUUGUAUACGAGCAGAAGCCGUACCGUGAGGAGCGGUGGAUUGUAUAGAAGUGAGAAUGCCGGUGUGAGUAGCGAGAUGUAGGUGAGAAUCCUACACACCGAAAGCCCAAGGAUUCCAGGGGAAGGUUCGUCCGCCCUGGGUAAGUCGGGACCUAACGCGAGGCCGAAAGGCGUAGUGGAUGGAAAGCAGGCGAAAGAUUCCUGCACCCGUAUAUGGAGCGAAGGAGUGACGGAGACGGAUAGUGUGACCCUCUUAAUGGAUUGAGGGCGAAGCGAAGCGGCUGGUUACCAGGCAAAUCCGGUAACCAAAAGGCUAGAGCGUGACAGGUAAGCGAAAUCUUCGGAAAGUAGCGAAGCACAUGAUGACGGCUUCCAGGAAAAGCUUCUGGCAAUGCAUAUGCGGCCCGUACCAAAACCGACACAGGUGGGCAGGGAGAGAAUCCCGAGGUGAGCGAGAGAACUGUUGCCAAGGAACUCGGCAAAAUGACUCCGUAAGUUAGCGAGAAGGAGUGCUUAAGCAAUUAAGCCGCAGUGAAGAGGCCCAAGCGACUGUUUAACUAAAACACAGCUCUCUGCGAAGUCGCAAGACGAAGUAUAGGGGGUGACACCUGCCCGGUGCUGGAAGGUUAAGAGGAUCUGUUAAGAGCGAUCUGAAGCAGUGAUCCGAAGCCCCAGUGAACGGCGGCCGUAACUAUAACGGUCCUAAGGUAGCGAAAUUCCUUGUCAGGUAAGUUCUGACCCGCACGAAAGGUGUAACGAUUUGGGCGCUGUCUCGGCAGCAGACUCGGUGAAAUCUUAGUACCUGUGAAAAUGCA